CCGUUCGAUCAUCGAAGUUAAGCAACGUCGAGCUUGGUUAGUACCCAGAUGGGUGACCGCUAGGGAAUACCAGGUGCUGCAAG